rnacentral:rRNA from 1 species
CUACGGGUUGCAGCAGUGAGGAAUAUUGCACAAUGGGGGGAACCCUGAUGCAGCAACGCCGCGUGGAGGAUGACGCAUUUCGGUGUGUAAACUCCUUUUAUAUAUCAAGAAAAUGACGGUAGCAUAUGAAUAAGCACCGGCUAACUCCGUGCCAGCAGCCGCGGUAAUACGGAGGGUGCAAGCGUUACUCGGAAUCACUGGGCGUAAAGGACGCGUAGGCGGGUUGGAAAGUCAGGUGUGAAAUCCUACGGCUUAACUGUAGAACUGCACUUGAAACUUCUAAUCUAGAGUAUGGGAGGGGGAGAUGGAAUUAGUGGUGUAGGGGUAAUAUCCGUAGAUAUCACUAGGAAUACCUAAAGCGAAGGCGAUCUCCUGGAACAUUACUGACGCUAAGGCGUGAAAGCGUGGGGAGCAAACAGGAUUAGAUACCCUUGUAGUC